rnacentral:lncRNA from 1 species
GCUGAGUGCAGUUUGAAAAGGCAGAAAGAGCUGGGCACAGGUAACUGAGCAACAAUGAAUGGUCAAAUUCAUGAGCAAAAUUAGAUUUCCCCAGGAAGCCUGAUGUCUUGUUUCUGGGGAUCUAAUUCAGAAAAAGGGAGAGAAAACGGCCUCCUUGGUGUGCCCCAGAGGACCUGAUGGAGCUAACAGUGGGGCUGGGGCCGGAAGCGGGAUGCAGACCUGGGCCCCAACAAGGAUGAUGCUGGUAUGACUCAGUCUGCUGAGGUCAGGUCCUGGCAAGACAGGUUCCGGAGAAGUGGCCGUCUCCCCGUUAUCAGAGAGAGAGCAUCUCCCCUUGCCUGGAGGCACUUCAGAGACUUCACCUGACGCAGGGAAUCUGUGCAUCUGAAGAUGGCUCCUGUCCUUUCGCAACAUGGCAGCAAGCCAUGUGUUUGAGACAUAUGCAGAGGCUGCUGCGGUGCUGAAGACCCCAGUGAGACAAUCAGAAAGAGAAAGUGCGCAGAAGAAACAUCUGCCCCCAAGUGAUGGAAAUACACCAAAGUCUGUUUUCAGGAUUGCUCUGUCGUUUUUUGGAAUAAAUUAUUUUUCUGCUUUCUACGGAACAAUACUCAAACUAAUAAAAACAAUUUAGUUAGUUGUGACAUGCUAAAGCAUGUAGUUAAAAAGCAGUAACUAGUUACAAAUAUCUAAUGGAGAAACAGUUUCCAAUAACCAUAGCUACAGAAAUUGUCAAAUAUCUAGAAUAAACUUCUAUGAAAUGAGCAGCCAUUUGUCCUACCAGAUAUUACAACAUAUAACAAAAUAAUGGAUAACAAGUAACACUAGUUGAGAUAGUCUAGGAGCAACAUAGGCUAAGGCUGGCAAAUUGAUGAAAAUGAAUUACAAGUCCAAAGACAGAUAAAAAUAUACAUGAAAUUGUAAUACAUGAUAAAGGUGGCCCCUCAAACUAGAUAAAUAAGAGUAAAUUUUUCAAUAAUUGGUCUAAUGCCUAACCAUUUGGAAAAAAAUGAAAUUUCUACUUCACACAAUAAAUCCACAUCAAUACCAGGUAACAUAAAGAUGUGAAUGUAAACUGUGAAAUUAUAAAAACUCCAAAGAAAAAUAGUUAUAUACAUUCUGGGUACGGAAGUACUUUCUAAGAAUUGUGCCAAAGACAGAAAUUGUAAAUGAAUAAAAUCAUUAGAUUUUGACAAUGUUAAGAAAUUUGUAUAUCAAAAAAAAUCUUAAAUAAAAAUAACAGGCCAGUCUGGAAGGGUAAGGGGGAAGGAGGGAUAAAGGGAAAAAAAUAUAUAAAUGUGUUUAUUACUGUGACCUGUACACCUAAAAAUGGUAAAGAUGGUAAAUUAUAUAUGCAUAUUUUACUGCAAUAAAAAAUAAAGUUAGAAAAGAAUAAACUUAUCUUUCCCUCCAAAAAAAUAUUAAUAGGCAAACAACAACAUGGGAAGAAAUAUUUGCAACUUAUAAAGGAAGCAAUGAUUUGCUAUCCGUAAUAUAUAUAAAUCAACAGAAAAAAAGAUGAAUUGUCCAACAAAAAAAUGAACAGAAGACAUGAGGAUACAAUUCACAAAAGGAAAAAUAUAAACAAAUGUUGAUGCUGAAUAAAUAGUCAAGCUCAAUAAUGACCAGAAAAAUGCAAAUUUAAAAAAAUGAGAUACCGUUGAAUACAUAGCUACAAAACUGGCAUAUUUAAUCAUGAUAAUAACUAGAAUUAAAGAAGACGUGGGGAAAUGGGUACCCUCAUGCCCUGAUGGCUUGUGUAUAAUAUACACAAACUCUUUGAAGGACCUUUUAGAAAUAAAUAACAAAAAUCUGAAUAAUAUUUAUAUAUUUUGAACCAGAAAUUACACAUCUAGCGUCCAUGUCCAGAGCAUUUAUAAAAAUAUGCAUAUUUUUGGUCCGG